CCUACGGGAGGCAGCAGUGGGGAAUAUUGCACAAUGGGGGAAACCCUGAUGCAGCGACGCCGCGUGAAGGAAGAAGUAUUUCGGUAUGUAAACUUCUAUCAGCAGGGAAGAAAAUGACGGUACCUGACCAAGAAUCCCCGGCCAAAUACGUGCCAGCAGCCGCGGUCAUACGGAGGGGGCAAGCGUUAUCCGGAUUUACUGGGUGUAACGGGAGCGUAGGCGGUUUAGCAAGUCAGGCGGGAAAGCCCGGGGCUCAACGCCGGGACUGCUUUUGAAACUGGUGAACUAGAGUGCAGGAGAGGUAAGUGGAAUUCCUGGUGUAGCGGUGAAAUGCGUAGAUAUUAGGAGGAACACCAGUGGCGAAGGCGGCUUACUGGACUGUAAAUGACGCUGAGGCUCGAAAGCGUGGGGAGCAAACAGGAUUAGAUACCCGUGUAGUC
rnacentral:rRNA from 1 species